rnacentral:tRNA from 1 species
UGGGGGGUCGUCUAAUGGUAGGACUAUGGACUUUGACUCCAUGUAUCGGGGUUCGAAUCCCUGCCCCCCAGCCA